rnacentral:lncRNA from 1 species
UUCUCGUUUCUUCGGACUUCUCAAUACCCUAUUCGAAACCAUUAAUUGAUUGAAUGGGUGAUCUACAUUGCCGCGACCACCUCCAGCAUCGACGGUUUGGUAUUUUCGAAAGAAGAGGGAAGGGAAAUCAAAGAUUUUCCGUUUCUUCGGACCCUUCAAUUUCAAAAAUGUCAAAUCAAAUCUGACGGCCGAACAGAUCCGUGCCACCGUCAUCAUCUUCACCGACGUCAUCUCCAGCAUCGCCGGUUUAAUAUUUUCGAAAGAAGAGGGGAGGGGAAUCAAAGAUUUUUUGUUUCUUCGGACCUUUCAACAUCUUUCGAAAAUGUCAAAUCAAAUUCGACGGCCGAACAGAUCUGCGCCACCGUCAUCAUCUUUACUGACGUCAUCUCCAGUAUCGCCGAUUUAAUAUUUUCGAAAGAAGAUGGGAGGGGAAUCUUUGAUUCCCCGUUUCUUCGGACCCUUCAACAAUGUCAAAUCAAAUCCGACUGUCGAACAGAUCCGCGCCACCGUCAUCAUCUUCACUGACGCCAUCUCCAGCAUCGCUAGUUUGAUAUUUUCGAAAGAAGAUGGGAGGGGAAUCUUCGAUUCCCCUUUUCUUCGGACCCUUCAACAUCUUUCGAAAAUGUCAAAUCAAAUCCGCUGACCAUUAAGAUCUAUGCCACUGUCAUCAUCUUCACCGCCGUCAUCUCUAAUCUUAUCGGUUCGGUGUUUUCGAAAGAAGAGGGGAGGGGAAUCAAAGAUUCCCCGUUUCUUCGGACCUUUCAAUCCUUUUCGAGAACAUUGAAUCAAUCCACGAAACUUUCAAACCAGUUUAGAUCCAAAUCAAAUUAGGAUCAAUAAGGGAUUUCUUCAGACCCCAAAUCAA